rnacentral:RNase_P_RNA from 1 species
AUCGGAUAAUCGCGCUUAUAGAUUGUUCUAAAGUGAGGAAAGUCCGUGCAUCCAAGGACAGGCAUCCGGAGAAACUCCGGACGGUGUGAGCCGGUGGAUAGUGCCACAGAAAUGUUAACUGCCGAUGGAUUUUUUAUCACAGGCGAUGGUGCAACGGUGAGGUAAGAGCAUCACCAGCAAAGUCGGAAGGCUUUGGCUAGGUAAACCCAUGCAGGAUGCAAGAUUGAAUUCAAAGGUUUUAAGGGUUGUCCGCCUACUUUGAGAAAAAUCGCUAGAGCUUGGGAGUAAUUCCAAGACCAGACAGAUGAUUAUCUAAAACAGAACACGGCUUACGGGUUGCUUU